GAUGAACGCUGGCGGCGUGCCUAAUACAUGCAAGUCGAGCGAACAGACGAGGAGCUUGCUCCUCUGACGUUAGCGGCGGACGGGUGAGUAACACGUGUAUAACCUACCUAUAAGACUGGGAUAACUUCGGGAAACCGGAGCUAAUACCGUAUAAUAUAUUGAACCGCAUGGUUCAAUAGUGAAAUACGGUUUUGCUGUCACUUAUAGAUGGAUCCGCGCCGCAUUAGCUAGUUGGUAAGUUAAAGGCUUACGAAGGCAACCAUGCGUAGCCGACCUGAGAGGGUGAUCGGCCACACUGGAACGGAGACACGGUCCAGACUCCUACGGGAGGCAGCAGUAGGGUAUCUUCCGCAAUGGGCGAAAGCAUGACGGAGCAACGCCGCGUGAGUGAUGAAGGUCUUCGGAUCGUAAAACUCUGUUAUUAGGGAAGAACAAAUGUGUAAGUAACUAUGCACGUCUUGACGGUAACUAAUCAGAAAGCAACGGCUAACUACGUG
rnacentral:rRNA from 1 species